GACGAACGCUGGCGGCGUGCUUAACACAUGCAAGUCGAACGGAAAGGCCCUGCUUUUGUGGGGUGCUCGAGUGGCGAACGGGUGAGUAGCACGUGAGUAACCUGCCCUUGACUUUGGGAUAACUUCAGGAAACUGGGGCUAAUACCGGAUAGGAGCUCCUGCUGCAUGGUGGGGGUUGGAAAGUUUCGGCGGUUGGGGAUGGACUCGCGGCUUAUCAGCUUGUUGGUGGGGUAGUGGCUUACCAAGGCUUUGACGGGUAGCCGGCCUGAGAGGGUGACCGGCCACAUUGGGACUGAGAUACGGCCCAGACUCCUACGGGAGGCAGCAGUGGGGAAUAUUGCACAAUGGGCGGAAGCCUGAUGCAGCAACGCCGCGUGCAGGAUGACGGCCUUCGGGUUGUAAACCGCUUUCGCCUGUGACGAAGCGUGAGUGACGGUAAUGGGUAAAGAAGCACCGGCUAACUACGUG
rnacentral:rRNA from 1 species